CUGAAUCGUCUGCAUCGAAUUCUCAAAACGAAAGAACAGCGCUGACACUCGCAAAUGCAAAUUCUUUUGUUCGCGUGUCAGCAAAGAAGCAGUUCUACCGCGCUCGCAGCUUGUGAACGAACACGCCCUGGUUUUGAGCAAAGGAACUCAAUCAUAUUGGGACAGUAAUACAAGCCAAGGACAGCUCACUCAUUCUCAAUCCUGUCCUGGUUAGAGGAACGCUUGCAGAGCACUAAAAUACUGUGUGUUCAAUUCAAAUGGGAGAAGGCAGAGGCCAGCUAGAUUCACCAUGAUGUCUGUGGUCUGAUAGAUCACCUUCCUCAGUAAGGACAAAGAGAAUGAAGAUGACUGUGCUGCCAGCCACAAUACAGAUGAGACCAACACCUCUGAGUCAUGGAAUGCGGCGGAAAUUCCAAGCGUGUCACGCAGGACCAAUUUGUACCCGCUUCUGGGGAUGAACCGAUAUUUUCCACAAGGUUUAUUCCAUAAUAAGACAAAGCUGGGUCCCGGCUCGACUAGAAUUUCUUUAUGUAUUUCUGAUUAUUGCCUGGCCAGCGGUGGGCCGGGCGGACUGUGAUAAAAAUCAGCCAAGCUGAUUAAUAGGAACAUCAUAAGAAUAUUACCGAUAGCACCUCAUCUUAUAUCUGUGUGUAAUUUAGUCUGUCUUUCUGGACAUGCCCAUGUAAUUAUGAGCAGCGGCUCGAGCAAGGUGGAACGUGCUAAGGCACCGAAACAGACUUAAGGAAGCAUCUUAAUUUCCAACCUAGUGAAAGCCACCGUUGAAUGGCGUAUUCAAAGCACCCCAUAAAAGUGAAAAGCAAGUGAUGAAUGACUCGUGCCAGCGUGUGCCGCUUUCAUACUUUCGCCUGCUCUAAAGUGUACGCCACUUUGAGACAUCUGAUACAGAAGAAGCUCCCCAGACUCUGUUUGUGAAUGUCUUUCAUCAAACUUGCAUAUGAGAGCAGCCACGUGCUACAUAGGCUCUUAGCCACACGCUUUGCCUCCUCUGAUGGUCCGGCCAACCAAUCCAUCUUCCUGAGUGCUCCCACAGAUGAGAAGUGGGCACUAGGCGCUUUCGUCGCUGAGCUACAGCAGGAGAUGAAUUGGAGUGCCAUAGCCCACCUCCAGACUGUCCCAGUAUAGCAAUCUGGACCCCAGUGCUGUGCAGCGAGGGACGGUCUUAUCCUCCCAUCCACCCAGAGAGGAGGCAGACUCACCCGGCCCCAGGAGGCCCAGGAAGCACGGAGGCGGCCAGAACGCUGCCUGCUGGGGCCUUCCACCCAUUCACACGGGCAGACCACGGGAGAUGAAGCGGACACAUGGAUCUCGAGGCUACUGCAAGAUGCUUUGAUUGUUGUCCUGCUGACGAUAUCUGACUAUGUACUGAAGUAAAAGACGACAGAAGUUGCAUCGACAACAUUGAUCUGAAAGUCAAAGCAAUUCGUCUGUUGUCCCACUGUGAACAUCAAAAAAAUAUUUGAAAAGUGUGUGGCACAAACUGCAGAGCCCAUAAACCACACAUCCUGUCUAUUUUAGAAUACUGUAUCCUUAAAAUGCAACCAACAAGCUAUAUUAA